GGGAGGGGAACCAAAAGCUAGCUUGGUACAGGUGAUUGACGCCGACGCAUCGAGGAGCAUCGGUUUCAGUGAAAGUUUUAUAUGCAUGGAUUUCAUCUCAAGUUGAAGCUCAUUUACAGGUGAAGCAUGUCCUGUCCCAGGCUGAGAACAUAGAGAUGGCACACCUGCUUGUCAAGAUUCUAAUGUCCCACUUCCAGGAACAUGAAGAUGGACUGGUUUUGCAUGCAGACGUUGCUGCAUCUGCAUCUGAUGUUGAGAAGACACUCAAUCUGCCUGCCAGUCCUCGUCUGAUUUUGCUGGGUAUGGCAGAGCCGGCAAAUGCUGUAUGGUAGAUAAGCCUAGAGGGCUGUGUUAUUUGUGACUGUGUCCAGUCAACAUUUUUGACUGCAGUUGCAACAGUGUUUGCUGUGUACUACAUCUUCAACCUGCAGUAUCAAGAGGAGGCUUGUUGCACGUUAGAA